rnacentral:rRNA from 1 species
AUGAACGCUGGCGGCGUGCCUAAUCCAUGCAAGUCGAGCGAACAGAUGAGGAGCUUGCUCCUCUGACGUUAGCGGCGGACGGGUGAGUAACACGUGGAUAACCUACCUAUAAGACUGGGAUAACUUCGGGAAACCGGAGCUAAUACCGGAUAAUAUAUUGAACCGCAUGGUUCAAUAGUGAAAGACGGUUUUGCUGUCACUUAUAGAUGGAUCCGCGCCGCAUUAGCUAGUUGGUAAGGUAACGGCUUACCAAGGCAACGAUGCGUAGCCGACCUGAGAGGGUGAUCGGCCACACUGGAACUGAGACACGGUCCAGACUCCUACGGGGGGCAGCAGUAGGGAAUCUUCCGCAAUGGGCGAAAGCCUGACGGAGCAACGCCGCGUGAGUGAUGAAGGUCUUCGGAUCGUAAAACUCUGUUAUUAGGGAAGAACAAAUGUGUAAGUAACUAUGCACGUCUUGACGGUACCUAAUCAGAAAGCCACGGCUAACUACGUG